CCUACGGGGGACAGCAGUGGGGAAUAUUGCACAAUGGGGGAAACCCUGAUGCAGCGACGCCGCGUGGGUGAAGAAGUAUCUCGGUACGUAAAGCUCUAUCAGCAGGGAAGAUAAUGACGGUACCUGACCAAGAAGCCCCGGCUAACUACGUGCCAGCAGCCGCGGUAAUACGUAGGGGGCAAGCGUUAUCCGGAAUUACUGGGUGUAAAGGGGGCGGAGACGGUAGCACAAGUCUGGUGUGAAAUCCCGGGGCUUAACCACAGAACUGCUUUUGAAACUGUUAGGCCAGAGUGCAGGAGGGGUAAGCGGAAUUCCUAGUGUAGCGGUAAAAGGCGUAGAGAUUAGGAGGAACACUGGUGGCGAAGGCGGCUUACUGGAACGUAACUGACGCUGAGGCGCGAAAGCGUGGGGAGCAAACAGGAUUAGAUACCCGAGUAGUC
rnacentral:rRNA from 1 species